GUGACAGGUUGAGAGAGGGUAACCAGUGACAAGAUAGGUGAAGAGUAGCUCCCACCUCCAGCAGGCCACCAUUCUUUCCUGAGGCCUGCUGGGAACAAUCCAAAUGCCCCACCCAGGUGUGCCCAGCCCCGUCCUGUGCAGUUCUGAGCUGGCUGCUGUGCUGCCUCCUGGCGUCAUGGAACAGAGGGGCUGGGAGAGCUGGAAGGGGACCAUGUUUCCUCCCAAGCUUUGGCAAUACCGCACCCUAAUACUGAAGUGGCUGCCCUUCCUUCCUACCUGGCUUCUUGCCACUGCUCCUGCCACAUUCUCUAUGAGGAGUGACCUUCCAACACUUCAAAUCAAGCCACUCUUCAGGAUGUAUCACCUGUGUCACCUCAUCCAUGCAGCCCUUCUUGACUCCCCUGCUAGAUGAAGUUCCAUCCUCCUCUGGGCCUGCGGCACAAUGUCCCUCUCUGCCUCUUGUCGUGGUUACUUGUCUAACCAUCUUCCUGCUCCCUCACCCUCAGCAGCUGGAGGCCUCGAGUCCAGCCACUCUUCUCUGUCCCUUGGAUCCUCAAUACAACUGGAUUUCAUUGAACUGGAUGGGGGAAUCAGGGGAAGCCACUGGUUGCAAAGUGGUUGGGGUGCCUGUGGCUUUCCAAUUUGGGGGGCCUCACUCUAUCCUGCCUCCAUCACUCCUGAGUGAUCAAACCUUGUCAGAUUGACAUGGAUCCUCCAGCUUAUGACCGUAACAGAGGGCCCAAUUGGUUAUAAGAAAGUCAUUUGGUGUCUUUGCCAAGAGGACAAGAGAGAAGACAAGGAAGGUGGCAGCCGGUAAAAGACACUGAAACUACAGCAAACGGUCUGCUGAGCCAGUCCAGCCACCCUGGCUAAAGCAUUUUGGUGCCAGCCAAUACUCCUUGCUCCCUGAAAAAUAACAAAUGAACGUGUUGCCUUUUUUGUGCCACCUUUUCUCCUUUCAAACACAAUGUUUGAGGCUCCUGGUGUCAGCAACAAUUUACAUCUCAAGAGACACCAGUUUUCCCAGAAGCCUUCAGGGUUGUCUAAACCAGAGCACCUGGGAAAUGAUUUCUAGUGACAGCUUAGCAAUCUCCUCUGGGACCUGGCUGAGGACGUGAUUAGGAGGACUUUGUGUGUGCAAAGAAGGCAGACUUAAGGAGGUGAGCCUGCUCUGCUCUUAGGUAUGGGACAAGAAGCGACUAGGACAAGGAUGCCCUCCUCCACUUAGGAUCCUCACAGCUCAGAAGGACAGGAACAUUUCAGAAACUCAUGUAUGGCGCCUCCCAAAGACCACAUAGAGCACCAACAAUACGGAGACGAAGGUUGCAAAGUGAUUGGUGGAUCCUAACUCCAGGGCCUGUGAACUUUACCUGGCCUUUCCCAGGCUUAAGUGGAAGUUUUCACCUAAACAUCAAGUUUUCCAAUUGUUCUUUAAAAGUUAAGACUUGGGGGCACACCUUAAACCACAACAUUAAGUGAAAUAAAUCAGACAGACAAGCUUAAAAUAUCGCAUGAUUUCUCCUAUAUGAGAAACCCAAAAUAUAAGUAAAGAGCAGCAUAAAAAAGAGAUAACAGGAAGCAGGGAGAUAGAUCUUUUGAAAAGGGGAAGGGGACCAAGAGAUUAGAGGAGUGAUGAAGAAAGAGUUAAGGUGUAUCAUUAUGUACGUGUACCAACUCCUCAAGGUGAGUGUAAUCAUUAUGCACUGCAAACAUGAACUAAUACAAAUUUUAAAAAAGAAAAGAAUUCCCCCACAUUGGAAGACCUGGCAUUAAUCAGCUGGAGUAGAAUCUGGGCUUCCCUCUCUAGAUGGGGCAUAAACCUUCCAGUUUGUCACACUCCCCUCCAGCGCUAUUGUCCUACCUGGCCCAUCUCACUUUUUAUCUGCCUGGCCUGUGUAAGCAUCAGUUUAUAACCUCUGCACCUGCUCACCAAGGUGAGGUUUGGACUCGAAUUAUCUAAAUGAUCAUUGCAUUUGUCUUUACACAGAAUGUGGCGGUUCCUGCUCAUUAUCAUAAUGCAGCCCAAGGGGUUGGGCCUACUAACUCAGGCAUAGUGAGGCUCAGCCUCUGAGAUCUGCCUCUGAGUCUUCCCACGCCCCUCUUCCCUUAAACAGGUUGGGCUUGGGGCUGUCUGGGUAUCAUUCUUGGAAAAUUCUUUCAUCAAAGACAUUCCAAUGCUCCCCAAAUGCUUCCUACUUGUUAAAAAUCUGGCUUAAAUGGCAGGGAACAGUUUAGCUGUUUGAAACAUCAUCUUCCUAGAUCCCACUCACCCCAGUGUGUGGACUGCCUACCCAAAUUGCCAACCAGAUUCCAUGAAGGAAUCAAAGAGCCAUGUGAAAUUAAUUUUACAAAAUCCUGUCACACACACCAUGGGGGCAUGGCAAAUGUGACAGAGAAGAAGAAAGACAGGUGCAGUUUGCUCUGCAAGGAGGCAUUCAUUCACUCAAGAGACAAUCAUCGAUAGUUACUUUCCACCAAACACUGUGCUAAAUCCACAGUCUUUACUGUUAGGAUUUUUAUUUAAUGGGAAAGCAGAGAAGAAAGUCAACAAUUAGAGCAAUGUGCCGCAGAUACACAAUCUGAAAGUCUUGGUUCCAGAUGUGUGAGGGAAUGCAGAGUUUUAAAAUUAUAUUUUAUUUGGAUUUUUGGAAAGCAGUAGGUUGUAUACACCAUCCAUUAGGUAGCACCCAACAGUCUGGGACAGGCCACUGCCAGCAAAUUUAUUAAUAUUUCUACAGCAAUCCCGUAAAUAUUCACAGUAGGUGGAAUACAUAGACUAUAAAUAGCAUCAUAACAGUUGAGGCCAGGUUUUUGCCAUCAAAUGUGGUUCCAGAUCUAAACCAGACCACUUCACAUAUACAAAAAUUGAAUUUGGAACUGUGCACUGGUCCAGGCCAGGCAAAGGUUUCCUGGAAGAGACAUAUUUGAGCUGUAACUUGAAAGAUCAACUGGACAAAAAGCAGAGUACUUUCCAGGCUGAUGAGCCAGCAUGCACCAGGUGCCACCCUUCGAGGAUUCAAGUGGCCCAGGGGCAACUUGAGCUGCACUGAGGGAAACACAGAAUCCCACUCCCCAUGAGGGUGACUGAGGCGCAGCACUGAGUAGACAUGAGGCCCUGCUAAAAACACCCAGGAAGGGACCUUGUGAGCUGCAGAUGGAGGAAUCAAGGUACAGAGAAGAUUAAAUAAAAACAACUCUCAUCCAAGGUCAUAGAGUUGAGAGACAGACCAGAGGACCUGACUUCAGAGCUGGUGCUUUAACCCAAAGAUUGCCUUUGCAUGGAUUUAGGCAUCUGGCCCACACCCUCACCUGCAGCCACUGCAAAGCAGAAGCCUGGACUCCUCUCAAGACACAGGACACACCUGUGAUCCUGAGCCAGGAUAAGCAAAAUAAGACAG
rnacentral:lncRNA from 1 species